GACGUAGGGAGCGAGCGUUUGUCCGGAUUCAUUGGGCGUAAAGGGCUCGUAGGCGGCCAACUAAGUCGGAUGUGAAAUCCCCAGGCUUAACCUGGGAACUGCAUCCGAUACUGGAUGGCUUGAAUCCGGGAGAGGGAUGCAGAAUUCCAGGUGUAGCGGUGAAAUGCGUAGAUAUCUGGAGGAAUACCGGUGGCGAAGGCG
rnacentral:rRNA from 1 species